rnacentral:rRNA from 1 species
UACAGAGGUCCCGAGCGUUGUUCGGAUUCACUGGGCAUAAAGGGCGCGUAGGCGGCUUUUCAAGUCAGGGGUGAAAUCCGGCAGCUCAACUGUCGAAGUGCCCUUGAUACUGAUGAGCUCGAGGGAGGUAGGGGUAUGUGGAACUUCCGGUGGAGCGGUGAAAUGCGUUGAUAUCGGAAGGAACGCCGGUGGCGAAAGCGACGUACUGGACCUCUUCUGACGCUGAGGCGCGAAAGCUAGGGGAGCAAACGGG